rnacentral:rRNA from 1 species
GAUGAACGCUGGCGGCGUGCCUAAUACAUGCAAGUAGAACGCUGAAGGAAGGAGCUUGCUCUUUCCAGAUGAGUUGCGAACGGGUGAGUAACGCGUAGGUAACCUGCCUGGUAGCGGGGGAUAACUAUUGGAAACGAUAGCUAAUACCGCAUAACAGUAGAUGUUGCAUGAUAUCUACUUAAAAGGUGCAAUUGCACCACUACCAGAUGGACCUGCGUUGUAUUAGCUAGUUGGUGAGGUAACGGCUCACCAAGGCGACGAUACAUAGCCGACCUGAGAGGGUGAUCGGCCACACUGGGACUGAGACACGGCCCAGACUCCUACGGGAGGCAGCAGUAGGGAAUCUUCGGCAAUGGACGGAAGUCUGACCGAGCAACGCCGCGUGAGUGAAGAAGGUUUUCGGAUCGUAAAGCUCUGUUGUAAGAGAAGAACGAGUGUGAGAGUGGAAAGUUCACACUGUGACGGUAUCUUACCAGAAAGGGACGGCUAACUACGUG